CCUACGGGAGGCAGCAGUGGGGAAUAUUGCACAAUGGGGGAAACCCUGAUGCAGCGACGCCGCGUGAGUGAAGAAGUAAUUCGUUACGUAAAGCUCUAUCAGCAGGGAAGAAAAUGACGGUACCUGAGUAAGAAGCCCCUGCUAACUACGUGCCAGCAGCCGCGGUAAUACGUAGGGGGCAAGCGUUAUCCGGAGUUACUGGGUGUAAAGGGAGCGUAGACGGUUCGCCAAGUCUGGAGGGAAAUACCGCAGCGUAACCGCGGAACUGCCGUUGAAACUGGCGGACUAGAGUGCGGGAGGGGUAAGCGGAAUGCCUAGUGUAGCGGUGAAAUGCGUAGAUAUUAGGAGGAACACCGGUGGCGAAGGCAGCUUACUAGACCGUAACUGACGUUGAGGCUCGAAAGCGUGGGGAGCAAACAGGAUUAGAUACCCUGGUAGUC
rnacentral:rRNA from 1 species